rnacentral:rRNA from 1 species
AUUGAACGCUGGCGGCAUGCCUUACACAUGCAAGUCGAACGGCAGCACGGGAGCAAUCCUGGUGGCGAGUGGCGAACGGGUGAGUAAUGUAUCGGAACGUGUCCAGUCGUGGGGGAUAACGCAGCGAAAGCUGUGCUAAUACCGCAUACGAUCUAUGGAUGAAAGCGGGGGAUCGCCAGACCUCGCGCGAUUGGAGCGGCCGAUAUCAGAUUAGCUAGUUGGUGGGGUAAAAGCUUACCAAGGCGACGAUCUGUAGCUGGUCUGAGAGGACGACCAGCCACACUGGAACUGAGACACGGUCCAGACUCCUACGGGAGGCAGCAGUGGGGAAUUUUGGACAAUGGGCGCAAGCCUGAUCCAGCAAUGCCGCGUGCAGGAUGAAGGCCUUCGGGUUGUAAACUGCUUUUGUACGGAGCGAAAAGGCUCUCUCUAAUACAGGGGGCUCAUGACGGUACCGUAAGAAUAAGCACCGGCUAACUACGUGCCAGCCGCCGCCGUAA